rnacentral:rRNA from 1 species
GUAAAUCCGGGUGAGCGGCAGGGGGAGGACGGGGGGGGGAAGGGUGGUUCGGAUUUACGGGGAGGAAAGGGCGCGUAGGCGGCCAUAGAAAGUCAGUGGUGAAAGCUCUGGGCUUAACCCAGAAAGGUCAACUGAUACUGCGGGGCUAGAGUGCAGAAGGGGCAACUGGAAUGCUCGGUGUAGCGGUGAAAUGCGUAGAUAUCGAGAGGAACACCUGCGGCGAAGGCGGGUUGCUGGGCUGACACUGACGCUGAUGCGCGAAAGCUAGGGGAGCGAACGGGAUUAGAUACCCCGAGAGUC